UCCCUGAUGGUUCAAUGGUUAAGAGUCUGCGCUUCCAACUGCAGGGGGCACAGGUUCGAUCCCUGGUCAGGGAG
rnacentral:tRNA from 1 species